ensembl:lncRNA
UAGCUCAACCUAUCAAAAGCACCCCGGGUCCUCCUGCUGCUGCUGCUGCUGCUGCUGGUUUUCCAGGUGCAUCGCAUUUAAGUCCUCCCCGCAAGGCCAGAGACCCGCCACGCAACUCCACUGGUAGGAUUUAAGUUUAGCGAUUACUUCUCCUCUCAAGUAAUGUCAGUUUGUUAAAGUCCUCUGUAAAGCUGAAAGAAAAAACAGGAUUGGGUCAAGUUGAUUCAAACAUGGACACCAUUAACCACUAUUAGUCACUUAAGUGUAAUGUGCUACUUCAUGUUGAAAAAACGUGAUAUUACUGUAAAGUACAAGCUGGUUCGUCAUUACUAAAAUCACAUUGAUGUAACGUCAUACUGUCAUCUGGCUUAUGGCUCCAUUUAAGGAAGACGGCAUGUUCUUCAUUCUCUAUAAGAACUUUGUUGAAAUGUGUCAUAACUCUAGUAAAUAUUAUGAAAUUCCAAAUUACCCCGUAAGGUAUUUAUAUGUUAUCCUAAUGUAUUUUGCAGAAUUUCAGUGCUCCUUCACCUCACGCACAGACUUACUGAAGUUUGCCACCGGUGGCGACUGUCGCUUCUGCUUGAAGAAGAUUCCAGCCACUGAGAGACAUUUGACGAAGAAACAUUAUCUUUUAGCUGUGAAAUUUACUGCAGGUGGCACUGGUAAGUUUUAUUACCAUUGAAACCAAAGUAUGAUUCAAUUCUACAAACAUGUUCUUUGAAGCGUGUUGGCAUCUACUGAGUAGGUUAUCGUUUCUCUUUUCAGAUCGAUUUGUUGUACCAUGCACGUGCACAGACUUGAUCCAGGGCAGAAGUCACUGGCACUGCCCGUAUUGCUCAAAGAUCAUUUAUCGGAAAUGUAACUUCGAGGUGCACAUAUCCAAACAACAUGGUCAUGCAAUACUGCCCCAAAACCGGGACAAAGACAUUGAUCAGCCCUCCGUCUCCGCCAUUGAAGAGGAGGUUCCCCGGAGUCCUGAACCCUGGUGUAAGCAGGAACAUGACAGUCUGGACCAGGAGGACCAGCGGGCCUCACUGUUGCGUGAUGUUAAAGAAGAAACGGAAAUCUGCACACGAGUGAGUCAUCCCGGGUGGCAGAACUCGGGUGAUCUGCAGAUUGACGGCGAGCAAAUACAAAAAGGUGACAUUCGAAUGAGUUCGGAGGAACAUCGCGCUCGAGACUCUGAAUUCAGCGUGGCCUUCCCGGGCGGUUACAUUCAAGACCUUAGCGAAAUUAACAGCGUGGAAAAAAUCAAGGGACAUCAGCUUCCCAAUUCUUCAAAUGACCCACUGGAAACGCUGCCGAACAGUGGGGUUGUGGGAAUAUGCCAGCCAACUGGGGAAUCUCAGCAAAGCGCACCUUGUUUAAAGGCACAUAGCAUCAAGAGGAAACUGCGUGUGAAGACAAAUAAGUCUUUGCCCACCUCGUGUUUGAACCUAAAGACUUCAACUCAGCCCGUCAGUCAGAAUCCCACCGGUCCCCAUUGUUGCAAAGCAUGUGGAAAGACUUUCUAUUACAUGUACACACUGAGGACACAUGUGCGUACACACGCCGGCGAUAAGAUCCGUAUUUGUGGAAUCUGUGGAAGACGUUUGGAGUCUACGGAGAGUUUAGUCCAGCACAUUCAGAACCACACCAAGAAGAACAAAUGUGGCAUCUGUGGCAAACAGUUUUCGAAUAAUUCCCGUCUGAAGCGGCAUCUGCGAUUUCACAGACCGAGGGGUCUGAAUAUCACGUCGUUGACUUAA